AUUGAACGCUGGCGGCAUGCCUUACACAUGCAAGUCGAACGGCAGCACGGGAGCAAUCCUGGUGGCGAGUGGCGAACGGGUGAGUAAUAUAUCGGAACGUGCCCAGUCGUGGGGGAUAACGCAGCGAAAGCUGUGCUAAUACCGCAUACGAUCUAUGGAUGAAAGCGGGGGAUCGCAAGACCUCGCGCGAUUGGAGCGGCCGAUAUCAGAUUAGCUAGUUGGUGAGGUAAAGGCUCACCAAGGCGACGAUCUGUAGCUGGUCUGAGAGGACGACCAGCCACACUGGAACUGAGACACGGUCCAGACUCCUACGGGAGGCAGCAGUGGGGAAUUUUGGACAAUGGGCGCAAGCCUGAUCCAGCAAUGCCGCGUGCAGGAUGAAGGCCUUCGGGUUGUAAACUGCUUUUGUACGGAGCGAAACGGUCUUUCCUAAUACGAGAGGCUAAUGACGGUACCGUAAGAAUAAGCACCGGCUAACUACGUGCCAGCAGCCGCCGUAAAAC
rnacentral:rRNA from 1 species